CCUACGGGAGGCAGCAGUGAGGAAUAUUGGUCAAUGGACGAGAGUCUGAACCAGCCAAGUAGCGUGAAGGAUGACUGCCCUAUGGGUUGUAAACUUCUUUUAUAAAGGAAUAAAACGAGGCACGUGUGCCUUUUUGCAUGUACUUUAUGAAUAAGGAUCGGCUAACUCCGUGCCAGCAGCCGCGGUAAUACGGAGGAUCCGAGCGUUAUCCGGUUUUAUUGGGGUUAAAGGGAGAGGAGAUGGGCAUUUAAGCCGGAGGGAAAAUGUCGGGGCUCAACGCCGGCCUGCCGUCGGAACUGGGUGCCUUGAGUGGGCGAGAAGUAUGCGGAAUGCGUGGUGUAGCGGUGAAAUGCAUAGAUAUCACGCAGAACCCCGAUGGCGAAGGCAGCAUACCGGAGCCCUACUGACGCCGAGGCACGAAAGUGCGGGUAUCGAACAGGAUUAGAUACCCGGGUAGUC
rnacentral:rRNA from 1 species